GUGCUAGCUUUAGCAGCACAUACACUAAAACUGGAACCAUACAGAGAAAAUUAGCAUGGCCCCUGAGCAAGGAUGACACACAAAUUCGUGAAGUGUUCUAUAUUAAA